rnacentral:rRNA from 1 species
GACGAACGCUGGCGGCGUGCCUAAUACAUGCAAGUAGAACGCACAGUUUAUACCGUAGCUUGCUACACCAUAGACUGUGAGUUGCGAACGGGUGAGUAACGCGUAGGUAACCUACCUGGUAGCGGGGGAUAACUAUUGGAAACGAUAGCUAAUACCGCAUAAUAUUGAUUAUUGCAUGAUAAUUGAUUGAAAGAUGCUAUUGCAUCACUACCAGAUGGACCUGCGUUGUAUUAGCUAGUAGGUGAGGUAACGGCUCGCCUAGGCGACGAUACAUAGCCGACCUGAGAGGGUGAUCGGCCACACUGGGACUGAGACACGGCCCAGACUCCUACGGGAGGCAGCAGUAGGGAAUCUUCGGCAAUGGACGAAAGUCUGACCGAGCAACGCCGCGGGAGUGAAGAAGGUUUUCGGAUCGUAAAGCUCUGUUGUAAGAGAAGAACGGGUGUGAGAGUGGAAAGUUCACACUGUGACGGUAUCUUACCAGAAAGGGACGGCUAACUACGUG